GACGAACGCUGGCGGCGUGCUUAACACAUGCAAGUCGAACGGAAAGGCCCUGCUUUUGUGGGGUGCUCGAGUGGCGAACGGGUGAGUAACACGUGAGUAACCUGCCCUUGACUUUGGGAUAACUUCAGGAAACUGGGGCUAAUACCGGAUAGGAGCUCCUGCUGCAUGGUGGGGGUUGGAAAGUUUCGGCGGUUGGGGAUGGACUCGCGGCUUAUCAGCUUGGUGGUGGGGUAGUGGCUUACCAAGGCUUUGACGGGUAGCCGGCCUGAGAGGGUGACCGGCCAAAUUGGGACUGAGAUACGGCCCAGACUCCUACGGGAGGCAGCAGUGGGGAAUAUUGCACAAUGGGCGGAAGCCUGAUGCAGCAACGCCGCGUGCGGGAUGACGGCCUUCGGGUUGUAAACCGCUUUCGCCUGUGACGAAGCGUGAGUGACGGUAAUGGGUAAAGAAGCACCGGCUAACUACGUG
rnacentral:rRNA from 1 species